rnacentral:rRNA from 1 species
UACGAAGGGGGGCUAGCGUUGCUCGGAAUUACUGGGCGUAAAGGGAGCGUAGGCGGACAUUUAAGUCAGAGGUGAAAUCCCGGAGCUUAACUUCGGAACUGCCUUUGAUACUGGGUGUCUUGAGUGUGAGAGAGGUAUGUGGAACUCCGAGUGUAGAGGUGAAAUUCGUAGAAUAUUCGGAAGGAAACACCAGUGGCGAAGGGCGGCCUGCUGGGUUCUGGCUGACACUGAGGC